rnacentral:rRNA from 1 species
CCUACGGGAGGCUGCAGUGAGGAAUAUUGGUCAAUGGGCGAGAGCCUGAACCAGCCAAGUCGCGUGAGGGAGUACUGCCCUAUGGGUUGUAAACCUCUUUUGUCGGGGAGCAAAAGCCGGACGUGUCCGGCUGUGAGAGUACCCGAAGAAAAAGCAUCGGCUAACGCCGUGCCAGCAGCCGCGGUAAUACGGAGGAUGCGAGCGUUAUCCGGAUUUAUUGGGUUUAAAGGGUGCGCAGGCGGAUUUUUAAGUCAGCGGUAAAAUCGUGGGGCUCAACCCCAUCCAGCCGUUGAAACUGGGGAUCUAGAGUGUGCGAGAGGUAUGCGGAAUGCGUGGUGUAGCGGUGAAAUGCAUAGAUAUCACGCAGAACCCCGAUUGCGAAGGCAGCAUACCGGUGCACAACUGACGCUCAGGCACGAAAGCGUGGGUAUCGAACAGGAUUAGAUACCCCUGUAGUC